AGUGGGAUGGCUCAGUUGGUAGAGUGUGACACUCUUAAUCUCAGGGCUGUGGGUUCAAGGUCCACCUUGCACAA
rnacentral:tRNA from 1 species